rnacentral:rRNA from 1 species
GUUACCUACGGGACGCAGCAGUCGGGAAUAUUGCGCAAUGGAGGAAACUCUGACGCAGUGACGCCGCGUAUAGGAAGAAGGUUUUCGGAUUGUAAACUAUUGUCGUGAGGGAAGAAGAUGACAGUACCUCAGGAGGAAGCUCCGGCUAACUAUGUGCCAGCAGCCGCGGUAAUACAUAGGGAGCAAGCGUUAUCCGGAAUUAUUGGGUGUAAAGGGUGCGUAGACGGGAAAUUAAGUUAGUUGUGAAAUCCCUUGGCUUAACUGAGGAACUGCAACUAAAACUGAUUUUCUUGAGUACUGGAGAG